UACAGAGGUCCCAAGCGUUGUUCGGAUUCACUGGGCGUAAAGGGUACGUAGGCGGUCGGGUAAGUCUGACGUGAAAUCUCCGGGCCUAACCCGGAAACUGCGUCGGAUACUAUCCGGCUAGAGGAUUGGAUGGGAGACUGGAAUACUUGGUGUAGCAGUGAAAUGCGUAGAUAUCAAGUGGAACACCAGUGGCGAAGGCGAGUCUCUGGACAAUUCCUGACGCUGAGGCACGAAAGCCAGGGGAGCAAACGGG
rnacentral:rRNA from 1 species